ensembl:lncRNA
AAAUAACAAGAUGGCUGUGAAUGUCAGAAGAGGUUUGGAGAUCCCAGAGCCAUCAGAUUACAGCAGCUGUGAAGACGAUGAUGUGACUUAUUUCACAGAUCUGCAGCGGCCUGAUAAUAAUCUACCUGAGUCUGUGAGAGUGAUCAGUAAGCUGUUAAAUAACCUUGUUGACAGUGCAUGGGAAGUUAUAUCAAAGCAGGAGAAGAUCAAGAGGGAUGAAGAACCAGCAAGACAAAUUCCUGUGCUGAAUGCUACUAAAGAAAUGAAGCUUCCAGGCAGAACUAAUAGCAUUGUGAGCUCUGAUGAUGGACUUUACCUGUUUCUGGGUCACACUCAUGGUCUGUCAGUCAUCAGUACAUCCACUCUCACCUGUGUAAGAACGUGGCAGGAUGAAAGAGUGGAGAUUACAAGCAUCUCUUGUGCCUCUCUGGGAAAUGCCACACACCUCUUAUUCACAGUGGAUGACAUGGGUAUCGCAAGGCUUUUUGUGCAUCACAUGGAGAAUAUUCAUUUAAUAAAAGUCAUCAAUGAAACUGAAGAUAUAAACCAAAGAAACAUCUGUGCAAAAUUUGAAGUGUCUAGAAGUGGGGACUUUGGAGCUGCAGUCAUGACAUCCAGUGGCUCUGUUUGGCUGGAUGUCUAUCGCUUCCCACUAGAUGUGUGGCUCAAAGAGCUGGAAACCAAACAGGCUACACAAACCCAACAGACCACAGAAGCCAAACUGUCUCCAGUAAUCUUACUCAUGAAGAUCAAACCUCCAGAAAUUCCUGCAGGAACCUCUCUGAAAAGUCCAUCUGAGGUCCUGCAGAAGACGGAGGAAGGCACUAUAAUAGGCUCAGGCCAAAAUCACCUCAUUAGUAGUCGUCAAUGGGAAAACCAGGAUGCAGCAUUUAAUAAAAUGUUCAUGAAGUACCUCAGCUCCAGCUCUGUGAUGACACCACAGCAAAAAGCAGAAGGACCAAGCAACUGUACUCUUCACUUCUUAGUGCGUGAGGGGUUUCAUUCAAUGUCUGGGGAAGCAAAUGCAGCUAGAGAUAUUCCCAUUGCUGUGUGCCUAUGGUGGAAUGGCAGCCAUAAUCUCUUAGAGUAUCUUCUGCUGAAGACCCUUAAAGAGAAGGACAGUGAACCCAGGCCAGAUGUUUUGUGGCCUAAUUCUCAGGAAAUCCUCUGCUCUGCCGUCAGUGCCUGCACACGGUUCAUUGUUCUAGGGCUUGACGGUCAGCUGGUUACUAUAUGGGACAGACGGUUUGGAUUUCCAUAUGCCAAUAUUGUGAUCCCAGGAGAUGGUGCCAUUUGCAGGAUGAAGCUUCUUUUGCAGAGUCAGUUGCCAGGCAAUCCGCUCUUUCAGGGUCCCUUUUUACCCACACUACAGUUAGUGCUCACUUGCAGAAAUGGGGCAUGUUACAGUGUGACAGCAGGCGGAGGAGGAGACACAUGCACUGUUGCACUUAUUGAAAGACCUGCAGGCACAGGCAGUUCUGUCACUGUUGCUGAACCUGUGCCCUUCCUGAAGUGUCUGAUUUUGUUGAUGCAGAGAAAUGGGCAAGUAUCCAUAUGGGAAACGGAGGAUGGAGCACCAGUAUUUAUCUUAAACCUGCCUCCAACUCAUGUGCUGGGCUCAUUUAGGGAACCUGUGUGUCUGCUUGAGCCAGUCCAACAAAAACUAUAUAUUUCAGGUGACAGAAAAACACCUUUGGUGGAGGUGACUGAUAGGAAUAAGGAUGAGAGCUCUCUCUUCAUCUUCAGCUUUUCAGAAUGCACACUGAUGGAUCUAUACCGUGUCGCGAGUCCAGCUGUAAGUGAAAAAGAGACCAGAGCCACACUCUCAGAUUUGGAGGAGGCCUGCAACCUUUACUUUAAGGAAAGAGCUGACUCUUGGAAAGAGAGGAAAAGAAAUUUGGCUUUCCAAUGGGAGCAGCUUUCGAAACGUGAUAUUAAAUGAUGCUUCAUAUACUACAAAGAGAUCCAGACAAGUCAUACUGACAGACAGAGAAUGUGUCUUCUUUUUUCUGUAUUAAUGAGGAUCAAAUGUAUGCAUGCAUUAAUUCAUCAAUUAGCCAGAGAAAAUACUAUGUUUUAAUUUUUGCUGUCAUAUAAAAAAAAAAAAAAAAAAAAAAAACAUUGAAUACAGUUCAUUUGAAAUUCAAAUGAAAGUUCAUUUCAGUUCAGGGUUAUUAGGAGAUUACAUGUCAUUUUCAGAAGAAGCUCUUCUACAUGAAGCCAGGCCAGUGCAAAUGUUUAUAUGUGCAUUUGUCUUAAUAUAAUGUUUAUAUAUGGAUGAGGAAUCUGUGCAUUUGAUUAAGCUUAUUAUGACUUGAUUCUAGCAUUUUUCCAACAUUUACAGCUCAGUUGCAGUAAGUAGUUGUUAUCUACUUAAAGUUCAAGUAAACAAAAUUCAGUAUAGUUGUUAGUAUAUCUGUUAUGCACAGUCUCAUGGUCUGUUCUGAAGUCAGAAAAUGUUCAUAUAAUAUCAUAGCUAAUCGUGUCUCCCACACAUUAUAGUGAAUGUCACCACAGUUUUUCUGGUUGCAUUGUUCUUAUUUAUUUGAUAUGUUGGGCCAUAGGCACUGGUUUUUUAGAUUUGCUCCACUUAAGUCUUUUCCGGCAAGCAAAUCAUUUCAAGAUUAGUACAUUAGUACCGUUUGUGCUGAACAUCAAUUUAAUUGAAUUUGAGCUUUAAUAUUAAUCAGUGUAACUACUUUUUGCUUCCUCAGGCAUAUUAAAAUCCUCCACCAUUCCAUGUUAUUCAUGUCAUUUUGUUUAUCCAAGUUUUUAGUUACAUUUUUACUUUAAUUGGACUGCCCAUGGGCAGUGGGGAGGCAGUAUCAUGAUUUUUGUGAGGUUAUGGAACAUUGCACGAUUGCUUGGUCACAGCCCGUAUAUUCAUGAGUUGCAUGAAUUUAAUGAUCUGUGCCUUCAGUUGCAAACCUUCAGGUUCCAAU